UCCGUAGGCGGGCAAUUAAGUCAGAGGUGAAAUCCCACAGCUCAACUGUGGAACUGCCUUUGAUACUGGUUGUCUUGAGUUACAGUGAAGUAGAUAGAAUAUGUAGUGUAGCGGUGAAAUGCAUAGAUAUUACUUAGAAUACCGAUUGCGAAGGCAGUCUACUAACUGUAUACUGACGCUAAUGGACGAAAGCGUGGGGAGCGAACAGGAUUAGAUACCCUGGUAGUCC
rnacentral:rRNA from 1 species